GAUAAAGUGCCUGAUAAAAGGAUUAUUUUGAUGAAAUAAAUAUGUACUAACCUUUAUCU
rnacentral:tRNA from 1 species